rnacentral:rRNA from 1 species
AUGGGCGAAAGCCUGAUGCAGCUAUGCCGCGUGUAUGAAGAAGGCCUUAGGGUUGUAAAGUACUUUCAACAAGAAAGAAAAAAUAAAAUCUAAUACAUUUUAUCAUUGACGUUACUUGUAAAAGAAGCACCGGCUAACUCCGUGCCAGCAGCCGCGGUAAUACGGAGGGUGCGAGCGUUAAUCGGAAUUACUGGGCGUAAAGAGCACGUAGGCUGUUAAUUAAGUCAGAUGUGAAAUCCCUAAGCUUAACUUAGGAACUGCAUUUGAAACUGAUUAACUUGAGUUUCGUAGAGGGGGGUAGAAUUCCAGGUGUAGCGGUGAAAUGCGUAGAUAUCUGGAGGAAUACCAGUGGCGAAGGCGACCCCCUGGACGAAUACUGACGCUCAGGUGCGAAAGCAUGGGGAGCAAACAGGAUUAGAUACCCUGGUAGUCCAUGCUGUAAACAAUGUCGACUUGAAGGUUGUAAGCUUGACUUAUAGCUUUCGUAGCUAACGCGUUAAGUCGACCGCCUGGGGAGUACGACCGCAAGGUUAAAACUCAAAUGAAUUGACGGGGGCCCGCACAAGCGGUGGAGCAUGUGGUUUAAUUCGAUGCAACGCGAAAAACCUUACCUGGUCUUGACAUCCAUGGAAUUUAAUAGAGAUAUUUUAGUGCCUUCGGGAACCAUGAGACAGGUGCUGCAUGGCUGUCGUCAGCUCGUGUUGUGAAAUGUUGGGUUAAGUCCCGCAACGAGCGCAACCCUUAUCCUUUGUUGCCAUCAGUUCGGCUGGGAACUCAAAGGAGACUGCCGGUGAUAAACCGGAGGAAGGUGAGGACGACGUCAAGUCAUCAUGGCCCUUACGACCAGGGCUACACACGUGCUACAAUGGUAUAUACAAAGGGAAGCAUCCUCGUAAGAGUAAGCGAAUCUCACAAAAUAUAUCUUAGUUCGGAUUGGAGUCUGCAACUCGACUCUAUGAAGUCGGAAUCGCUAGUAAUCGUAGAUCAGAAUGCUACGGUGAAUACGUUCCCGGGCCUUGUACACACCGCCCGUCACACCAUGGAAGUGGGUUGUAAAAGAAGUAAGUUGCUUAACCUUUAUUUUUUUAAGGAGGGCGCUUACCACUUUAU